ACAGACGAGACCCAGGGUUUAAUGUGACACCUGCUUCCACACCGGCAGAACAUCUGGAGACCAGCGCACCUUUCUUGUCACUCAGGUCCCGUUCCGUGUCCGGGUUGUACAGCUCAUCGUCCUGAUCCGGGGCUUCCGUCAGCAGGUCCUCCAGCACGUUCAGCUCGCCGUCUGAAAAACAACAACACGCUUAGAACACCGGAAGGUUCUGGACAGCAACAGGUCGGCUCCUUUCAGACCGAGCCGGGCCAACAUCUUCCAGCUGGACCGAGACGGACCAGUACCUUCCACCUGGAUCUAUGCUUUCCAGGCAGAAAGUCAAAGUUCAGUCAGGGAAGAAAAACGUCAAAAAAGGGUUCCACUUCCUGGAACAGGAAUAAGAGAAUCUUUAAAAGACAUUUGAACCUGUGGUUUCAACAAUCUCUCGUGUAAUCAUCACAUGAUCAGCAGCUGGAUGGCUCUGUGGGCUGCAUGCAGGAGCGGCACAAUCCCAUGUUCGAUUCCCAGGGGCCACGAUUAACUUCACCCAGUGUGGGUCCUUGGGCAACCUUUACGCAACUGCCCAACUAUGUAACUACAAGAGCUCAAGUCUGGGUCUCCCUGUGCCGGUCCCCAGCUCGGGUAAAAUACAGCGUUGUGUCAGGAAGGACACCCAGCGUAAAAGUCUCUGCCAAACCACCUGAGCAGCUCGGUAGAAGCGGGUUGGCUGUGGCGACCCCUGAAGGGACAUGCAGAAAGGUGAACAACUGUAUUUAUUUCUGGAGGUUUGGUUUCUUUUGUUUCCAACACAUCAUUGACCUCCCAGAGGACUGCAGAUGGAGAUUGGCCUUUGGCUCGUUUACAUUUGAUGUUUAUGUUUCCAAUAUCAUAAAUAAAUGUUCAGAAACAGUUUGAUACGUGGAGCGCUUGGUGCUUGUUGGAGUUAGUCCAUCCAGUCCAUGUUUAUUCUGGAAAAGGUGUUGGGUGUUUUUCUUUGUCUCCAUGUGGAUCCGUCAGGUCAGGCCCCUCUGUAGGGGCCAGUCCAUCCCCGUACAACCAGGGGCUCUUGGCUUUUAUUGAAAGGAGAAAGUGGAAGCCGUUUCUCUGUGCUUUUGGACUGAAACACUUUAACAAAAACUGAAAAAAAUGAUGUUUUGGGCAGAAUUUCAGGAGGCAGCCAGAGGCUGAGGUUUCAGUUUGAGGGCUUCAUGGGGCGAGUGGCAGAUUAAAAAUAUAUAGAUGUAUUCAUGCAGAAACACAUUCAGUAGAAAUAGCUUUUGACAGACACUGAUCCUGCUAAUUGUCCCACUUAGAAAUGGGAGUCCGGUCUGUAGUGUUUAAAAUGGAACCACUUCACUGCAAAAAAGGAUCCAGGUGAUCAAUUAGUUUGACUUUUAAAGAAUUUAUUCCAGGGGUCAGCGACCUUUACCACUCAAAAAUCGUUUGCAUCAGUUUCCUACAAAACACAGGAAGCAGCAGCAGCCUUUGGAAAACCUGGAGUUUCCAGAGAAUGACAUCAUCUCACUGGUUUUUAAAGUGAAGUGAAGAAAUGUUUAUUUUCCCUCUAUCCUCCGUCAUUGAAUGGGUUCUGAUGAGAACUAUUUCCUGAAAGGCCACAAAACUAGCAAAUAUGUGGUAAUGAACCAGCAGUUAAUCUGCGUUUCCAAUAGAUUUUUGUCAACAAACAACUGUUUUUAUCAUCUUGAUCGGGGGCCUGU